GACGAACGCUGGCGGCGUGCUUAACACAUGCAAGUCGAACGGAAAGGCCCUGCUUUUGUGGGGUGCUCGAGUGGCGAACGGGUGAGUAACACGUGAGUAACCUGCCCUUGACUUUGGGAUAACUUCAGGAAACUGGGGCUAAUACCGGAUAGGAGCUCCUGCUGCAUGGUGGGGGUUGGAAAGUUUCGGCGGUUGGGGAUGGACUCGCGGCUUAUCAGCUUGUUGGUGGGGUAGUGGCAUACCAAGGCUUUGACGGGUAGCCGGCCUGAGAGGGUGACCGGCCACAAUGGUACUGAGAUACGGCGCAGACUCCUACGGGAGGCAGCAGUGGGGAAUAUUGCACAGUGGGCGGAAGCCUGAUGCAGCAACGCCGCGUGCGGGAUGACGGCCUUCUGGUUGUAAACCGCUUUCGCCUGUGACGAAGCGUGAGUGACGGUAAUGGGUAAAUAAGCACCGGCUAACUACGUG
rnacentral:rRNA from 1 species